CGCUGGCGGCACGCCUUAUACAUGCAAGUCGAACGGAGUAGCAAUACUUAGUGGCAGACGGGUGAGUAACAUGUGGGAACCUUCCCUUUGGUGAGGAAUAACACGAGGAAACUUGUGCUAAUACCUCAUAAGUCUUUACGGAGAAAGCUUUAUGCGCCAAUGGAUGGGCCCGCACUUGAUUAGUUUGUUGGUGGGGUAACGGCCUACCAAGACUGUGAUCAAUAGCUGAUCUGAGAGGAUGAUCAGCCACAUUGGGACUGAGACACGGCCCAAACUUCUACGGGAGGCAGCAGUAGGGAAUAUUGCACAAUGGAGGAAACUCUGAUGCAGCGAUGCCGCGUGAGUGAAGAAGGCCCUUGGGUUGUAAAGCUCUUUCGUCGGGGAAGAAAAUGACUGUACCCGAAUAAGAAGGUCCGGCUAACUUCGUGCCAGCAGCCGCGGUAAUACGAAGGGACCUAGCGUAGUUCGGAAUUACUGGGCUUAAAGAGUUCGUAGGUUGUUAAAAAAGUUGGUGGUGAAAUCCCAGAGCUUAACUCUGGAACUGCCAUCAAAACUUUUUAGCUAGAGUUUGAUAGAGGAAAGCAGAAUUUCUAGUGUAGAGGUGAAAUUCGUAGAUAUUAGAAAGAAUACCAAUUGCGAAGGCAGCUUUCUGGAUCAUUACUGACACUGAGGAACGAAAGCAUGGGUAGCGAAGAGGAUUAGAUACCCUCGUAGUCCAUGCUGUAAACGAUGUGUGUUAGACGUUGGAAAUUUAUUUUCAGUGUCGCAGCGAAAGCAGUAAACACACCGCCUGGGGAGUACG
rnacentral:rRNA from 1 species